CCGUCCGGCGUCCCAGGCGGGGCGCCGCGGGACCGCCCUCGUGUCUGUGGCGGUGGGAUCCCGCGGCCGUGUUUUCCUGGUGGCCCGGCC
rfam:Homo sapiens chromosome 21, GRCh38 reference primary assembly.